CGGGGAGACUCCACCAUGGCCUGGGCCCCUCUCCUCCUCACCCUCCUGGCUCAGUGCACAGGGUCCUGGGCCCAGUCUGGGCUGACUCAGCCGCCCUCAGUGUCGGGGUCCCCGGGCCAGAGGGUCACCAUCCCCUGCACUGGAAGCAGCUCCAACAUCGGGGGUGGAUAUUAUGUAACCUGGUACCGACAGUUCCCAGGAUCGGCCCCCAGACUCCUCAUCUAUGAAAACAGCAAACGUCCCUCGGGGGUCCCGGACCGAUUCUCAGGCUCCAAGUCUGGCAGCUCCGGCUCCCUGACCAUCACUGGGCUGCAGGCUGAGGACGAGGCCGACUAUUACUGCUCAGCGUGGGACGACAGCUUGAAUGGUCACCCCAAGGCCGCGCCCUCGGUCACCCUCUUCCCGCCCUCCUCCGAGGAGCUCAGCGCCAACAAGGCCACAGUGGUGUGUCUCAUCAGUGACUUCUACCCCGGCGCCGUGACGGUGGCCUGGAAGGCAGACGGCGCCCCCGUCACCCAGGGCGUGGAGACCACCAAGCCCUCCAAACAGAGCAACAACAAGUACGCGGCCAGCAGCUACCUGAGGCUCUCCCCCGACGCGUGGAAGUCUCACAGCAGCGUCAGCUGCCAGGUCACGCACGAAGGGAGCACCGUGGAGAAGACGCUGGCCCCCAGGGAGUGCUCUUAGG